rnacentral:rRNA from 1 species
ACGGGUGAGUAACACGUGGGUAACCUGCCCUUAAGUGGGGGAUAACAUUUGGAAACAGAUGCUAAUACCGCAUAAAUCCAAAAACCGCAUGGUUCUUGGCUGAAAGAUGGCGUAAGCUAUCGCUUUUGGAUGGACCCGCGGCGUAUUAGCUAGUUGGUGAGGUAACGGCUCACCAAGGCAAUGAUACGUAGCCGAACUGAGAGGUUGAUCGGCCACAUUGGGACUGAGACACGGCCCAAACUCCUACGGGAGGCAGCAUG